rnacentral:rRNA from 1 species
UACGGAGGAGGCAAGCGUUAUCCGGAAUUAUUGGGCGUAAAGCGUCCGUAGGUGGCACUUCAAGUCUGUCGUCAAAGACUGGGGCUUAACCCUGGAACGGCGGUGGAAACUGAAGCGCUAGAGUGUGGUAGGGGUAGAGGGAAUUCCCGGUGUAGCGGUGAAAUGCGUAGAGAUCGGGAAGAACAUCGGUGGCGAAGGCGCUCUACUGGACCACAACUGACACUCAGGGACGGAAGCUAGGGGAGCGAAUGGG